rnacentral:lncRNA from 1 species
UAAUUGCUUAUAUACCUCUUGCAAGGUUUCUGUUCUUUUUAUUUACCUAUUUUAGAAGGCUAAUAUUAAAGAUAUUUUUCGAACUUUCUAAGUUUGAAUUUUGUUAAUGAACUGUUAGGAAUAACCGUAAUCGCUAAGAUAUUACUACUUUGUCCUUUCAAAUAUGUUCUUCUAUCGUUAUCAACUAUUGUCACUAUUUUUUCUUAUUUGAUAUUUUUAAAUUUAUAUUUAAUCUUAAAUUUAAAAUUUAGAACUUUAAAUUUUUGAAUUUGAAACUUAAAAUUUAAAUUUUAUUUUAAAUUUUUAAAUUUUUAAAUUUUAAAAAUAGAAAAAGGGGUGGAAACCGCUGUUCCCACCCACAGCGAGUUAUCCAGAGAUAAUUAAUUUAAUAUUAAUUAAAUUAAUUAAUAAUUUAAAUAUAUUAAUUAGAUUAAUUAAUGAUUUAAAAUUAUCAAUUAGAGUUUAAUUAAUCUUGUUUUUCAUUAUUCUAAGGAUAAGGGUGGAACAAUAAUUCCAUAUUUAUACCAGGAACUACUAUUCUAGAGUAUGAAAAAUAGCGUUUUGAUAUAAAAGGAGGGAUAAGGAGUUAUUCCACCCUUAUCCCCGAACCAAAUGGUAGCUAAGGGUACUUAAAACGGAAUAAUUUUUGAAUAACGGAAAAAUAUAUGAGAAGUACAUUUGAAACAAAAAAGGUAGGAGUACAUCAGAAAUUUUAGAAGUUUUGGAUGGUAUAUAGGUAAUUAUCCCAACUUUUUUUGCUGAAUAAAAUAAAUCAUUUUGUAAGUGAAGUAUUUAGUAUACUGUUCUAUCUAACCAUACCUCUUAAGAUCUUUUAAGAAAUUAAAAUCAAACUCCUAAAUUUUACUUAUAAAAAAAAUUAUCUCCGUCUUCAUAACUGCAUAUAAAAAUAUACAAAUAUUAUUAUCUAAAAGCUUAAGCUUAUUAGGGAAUAAGGGUUGCUUCAGAUAAUAUAAUAUAGUAUUUGAGGAUUAAGAGCAGAAGAUUCUGAGUUUGAGUCAUAUCUAACUCCUAACGUUAUUUAAUUUAUUCAUAUUUAAUUCAAGUUUGCCUCUUAUUUCUAUUAAAAAGCUUCGAGCUUCGAGUUCAAACAUGUCGGAGAGUGUUGAAUAUAAAAAACACAUAAUAUUUCAAUCCUAUUAUAGAAAAAACACAUCAUAUUUCAGUCCUAUCAUAAGAAACACAAAAGUUAGUUAAAUAAUCUGUUAACUUAGUCCCGAGUUGAGUUCCACCUAUUAAAAAGUCUGGAGCUUAGACCUGAAAGAGAGUACUGAAUAUAAAAAUAUAAAAGGAUAUAUCUAAUAUAUUUUUUUAAAACUUUAAAAAUACCUAAUAUAUUUUUGGUUGAGCAAAAUGACCUCAUUGAUUUUCAAUUUUUUUUUCAAAUAUUUCUAAAAUCCUAUGGUUUACUAAUAGGAUUUGCGGUUUAGAAGGGUAAAUUUAAAAAUUUUGAAUAGCAGCCAGGAGUAUAUAAGCAAAAACCCUAAAUAUAAAAUAUACAUUAUAUUUUAGUCCUGCGGUGGGAAACACUUAUUAAAAGUUAAUUAAGCAGAAUCUGUUUGGAGCGUAAUCACAAUCCAGCUCAACUGAGCCCUAAGUUCAAGUUCUGCGAAACUCCUAGUAUUAUUUAAUUUUCUCUUAUUCGAUUCAAAUUCACGUCUCGUGUAGGGAUGUCAAUGGGUAUGGAUACCCGAAAUUUUAUCCGAACCCGAACCCGAAUGAAACGGAUAUAUUCGAUGGAUAUGGAUAUAGAUUUGGAUAUGGAUAUAAAAAAUAAAAACCCUACGGAUAUGGAUUCGGAUAUAGAUUUUGAUUGUACCCAACCCGAACCCGAAUUUAUUUUGUAUUAUAUAUAAUAUAUAUAUAAAAAUUUGAUGUUAUAUUUGAAUUUGUAUUUUAAAAAUUUAAAUUUAAUAUAACAUAUUUUGAAAUAUUGAAAAAAGAAAUAAUUGUUUCGGGUUCAAAUUUUCGGGUUCGGGUUCGGGUUCGGGUUUCGGAUUUUUGGUCGGGUUCGGGUUUGGAUAUGGAUUUUUAAAAUCCGUCGGAUUCGGGUUCGGGUUU